rnacentral:rRNA from 1 species
GACAGAGGGUGCAAACGUUGUUCGGAAUUACUGGGCGUAAAGCGCGUGUAGGCGGCCCUGCAAGUCGGGUGUGAAAUCCCACGGCUCAACCGUGGAAGUGCACUCGAAACUGCAGGGCUAGAGUCCUGGAGAGGAAGGUGGAGUGCUUGGUGUAGAGGUGAAAUUCGUAGAUAUCAAGCGGAACACCGGUGGCGAAGGCGGCCUUCUGGACAGUGACUGACGCUGAGACGCGAAAGCGUGGGGAGCAAACGGG